rnacentral:rRNA from 1 species
AACGCUGGCGGCGUGCCUAACACAUGCAAGUCGAGCGCGAAAGGGGGGCAACUCCCAAGUAGAGCGGCGAACGGGUGAGUAACGCGUGGGUAAUCUGCCUCCGAGUGGGGAAUAACAUCGGGAAACUGGUGCUAAUACCGCAUAACAUCCUUGGGUCGAAAGAUCCGAGGAUCAAAGCUGGGGACCGCAAGGCCUAGCGCUUAGAGAGGAGCCCGCGUCCGAUUAGCUAGUUGGCGGGGUAAUGGCCCACCAAGGCUUCGAUCGGUAGCCGGCCUGAGAGGGCGGACGGCCACACUGGGACUGAGACACGGCCCAGACUCCUACGGGAGGCAGCAGUGGGGAAUUUUUCGCAAUGGGGGAAACCCUGACGAAGCAACGCCGCGUGGAGGAUGAAGGCCUUCGGGUUGUAAACUCCUGUCGACCGGGACGAAAGUAGUCCGGCCCAAUACGUCGGGCUAUUGACUGUACCGGUGGAGGAAGCCACGGCUAACUCUGUGCCAGCAGCCGCGGUAAUACAGAGGUGGCAAGCGUUGUUCGGAAUUACUGGGCGUAAAGGGCGCGUAGGCGGUCUUGUAAGUCCCGUGUGAAAUCCCUCGGCUCAACUGAGGAACUGCACGGGAUACUGCGAGGCUUGAGUUCGGGAGAGGGAAGCGGAAUUCCGGGUGUAGCGGUGAAAUGCGCAGAUAUCCGAAGGAACACCGGUGGCGAAGGCGGCUUCCUGGACCGACACUGACGCUGAGGCGCGAAAGCUAGGGGAGCAAACG